rnacentral:rRNA from 1 species
CCUACGGGCGGCUGCAGUAGGGAAUAUUGCUCAAUGGGGGAAACCCUGAAGCAGCAACGCCGCGUGGAGGAUGACGGUUUUCUGAUUGUAAAAUCCUUUUGUUAGAGUAGUUAAUGACGGUAUCUAUAGUAUAAGCACCGGCUAACUCCGUGCCAGCAGCCGCGGUACUACGGAGGGUGCAAGAGUUACUCGGAAUCACUGGGCGUAAAGAGUGCGUAGGCGGGAUGGCAAGUCAGAGGUGAAAUGCUAUGGCUUAACCAGAGAACUGCAUUUGAAACUGUUAUGCUAGAGAAUGGGAGAGGUAGGUGGAAUUCUUGGUGUAGGGGUAAAAUGCGUAGAGAUCAAGAAGAAUACUGAUUGCGAAGGCGACCUGCUAGAACAUAACUGACGCUGAUGCGCGAAAGCGUGGGGAGCAAACAGGAUUAGAUACCCGGGUAGUC